rnacentral:ncRNA from 1 species
AAAUCCUGUUUGAGCAAGGUCUAACCAACCACUCAAUAGCGAGUUUUGUGCUUAUGGCAGUAAUGUUAUGAGUAAAGCGUAAACAGCAAGAAAGUAGGGUUAAAAGGCAAUUCAGCCCCGAAAUGUUACCAAUUAAAAGGCAGACGUGCUAAUUACCACGGAAUGCAACAUCUGGAUAAUUGGUAUGGUGAGAUUAUUCAGACUUUUACGGGGUCAUUAGA